rnacentral:rRNA from 2 species
ACGGAAGGCAGCAGUGGGGAAUAUUGGACAAUGGGGGAAACCCUGAUCCAGCGACGCCGCGUGAGUGAAGAAGUAUUUCGGUAUGUAAAGCUCUAUCAGCAGGGAAGAAAAUGACGGUACCUGACUAAGAAGCUCCGGCUAAAUACGUGCCAGCAGCCGCGGUAAUACGUAUGGAGCAAGCGUUAUCCGGAUUUACUGGGUGUAAAGGGAGCGUAGACGGCGUGGCAAGUCUGAUGUGAAAGCUAUGGGCUCAACCCAUAAACUGCAUUGGAAACUGUCAUGCUAGAGUGUCGGAGAGGUAAGCGGAAUUCCUAGUGUAGCGGUGAAAUGCGUAGAUAUUAGGAGGAACACCAGUGGCGAAGGCGGCUUACUGGACGAUAACUGACGUUGAGGCUCGAAAGCGUGGGGAGCAAACAGGAUUAGAUACCCUGGUA